rnacentral:tRNA from 1 species
AUUGAAUAAAUUAAGGAAUUAGUGUUGGGCUUCUAACCCGAUAUAGAUGUUUAUUCAUUAUUCCUUU